rnacentral:rRNA from 1 species
CCCUUCGGGGUGGGUGUCAGUGUGAACGCCUGGCCUGAUCUGGUAGUAGGUAAGCGAUGGGGUGACGCAGGAAGGUAGUCCAUCCCAGGCGGUGGUUGUCCUGGGGUAAGCAUGUAGGGAGAGAGAUAGGCAAAUCCAUCUCUCAUGUAUCCUGAGGUGUGAUGCCGAGCCGAUUGUGGCGAAGUGGAUGAUCCUAUGCUGCCGAGAAAAGCCUCUAGCGAGUGUUGUGGCGGCCCGUACCCUAAACCGACUCAGGUGGUCAGGUAGAGAAUACUAAGGCGAUCGGGUGAACUGUGGUUAAGGAACUCGGCAAAUUGCCCCCGUAACUUCGGGAGAAGGGGGGCCUCGGCUGGUGUAGGAGUUUGCCUCCGAAGCUGGUUGGGGUCGCAGUGGCCAGGGGGAAGCGACUGUUUACUAAAAACACAGGUCCGUGCGAAGUCGUAAGACGAUGUAUACGGACUGACGCCUGCCCGGUGCCGGAACGUUAAGGGGACCGGUUAGCACUCUUCGGGGUGCGAAGCUGAGAACUUAAGCGCCGGUAAACGGCGGUGGUAACUAUAACCAUCCUAAGGUAGCGAAAUUCCUUGUCGGGUAAGUUCCGACCUGCACGAAUGGCGUAACGACUUCCCCGCUGUCUCAACCGCAGACCCGGCGAAAUUGCACUACGUGUAAUGAUGCUCGUUACGCGCAGCAGGACGGAAAGACCCCGGGACCUUCACUACAGCUUGACAUUGGCGUUUGGAGCGUCUUGUGUAGGGUAGGUGGGAGACUGUGAAGCUGUCACGCUAGUGGUGGUGGAGUCAUUGGUGAAAUACCACUCUGGUCGUUUUGAACGUCUAACUCUGGUCCGUGAUCCGGAUCGGGGACAGUGUCUGGUGGGUAGUUUAACUGGGGCGGUUGCCUCCUAAAGAGUAACGGAGGCGCCCAAAGGUUCCCUCAGCCUGGUUGGUAAUCAGGUGUUGAGUGUAAGUGCACAAGGGAGCUUGACUGUGAGACUGACGGGUCGAGCAGGAGCGAAAGCUGGGACUAGUGAUCCGGCAUCGGCUUGUGGAAGCGGUGUCGCUCAACGGCUAAAAGGUACCCCGGGGAUAACAGGCUGAUCUUCCCCAAGAGUCCAUAUCGACGGGAUGGUUUGGCACCUCGAUGUCGGCUCGUCGCAUCCUGGGGCUGGAGUAGGUCCCAAGGGUUGGGCUGUUCGCCCAUUAAAGCGGUACGCGAGCUGGGUUUAGAACGUCGCGAGACAGUUCGGUCCCUAUCCGCUGCGCGCGCAGGAGACUUGAAAGGGGCUGUCCCUAGUACGAGAGGACCGGGACGGACGAACCUCUGGUGUGCCAGUUGUACCGCCAGGUGCACGGCUGGUUGGCUACGUUCGGAAGGGAUAACCGCUGCAAGCAUCUAAGCGGGAAGCUCGCCUUGAGAUGAGGUCUCCCACCACGUGAGUGGGUAAGGCCCCCAAUAGACGAUUGGGUUGAUAGGCCGGAGGUGGAAGCAUGGUAACGUGUGGAGCUGACCGGUACUAAUAGGCCGAGGACUUGACCAC